rnacentral:lncRNA from 12 species
AUGUGAUUAACAUUUACAAUCAGUUGACUUUAUGUAGAGCAAAUUACUCUCCAUGAUAUGAGUGGGCCUUAGCCAAUUAGUUGUAAGACUUCAGAGCAAAACUGAGGUUUCUCAAAGUAAUUCUUCCUCAAGACUGAUAUAGAAAUCUGGCCUGUGUUUCAGGUCUGCUCGCCCUCUCUGCGAACUUCAGACUCAAGAAUAUAAACAUCAAUGCUUCAAUGAAUUUCCAGCCUGCCAGCUUACCCUGUGGAUUUCAGACUCUCCAGCCCUCAUAAUCUUGUCAGCCAAUUCUUUAAAAUAUCUCUGUCUCUCUGUCUCUCUUGUACACACAUACUCUCUAGGGAAACCUGACUAAUACAGUAACUUCAUUUUCGAUUAGCGAUGAAGUUCAGAAAAUUCAUAUUUUCCCAAAAAGCCAAAUGACGCUUCCCAAGAGCUGAAGGUGGAUUCUUCUCUUUGAAAUCCCUUUCAUAGGCUGUCAACUAAUGCCUCAAAUCAUAUUUAAGUCAGAGAUAAAACACAUAUUUUCUUAUUUGCUCAUAACCUUCCCCAAAUGCAUUGCUAAACAUUCUUUCUCUGGAGUCAAACGAUAUUCUGCAGCAUAUAAAUGGAAGGAACUCAUGGACACAGGUGUCUUCCGGCCCCCACCCUUCUAAAGUUCCAAGGUUGUGUGUGGGGUUAAUAACCAUUAUGAUGAGGUGGGAGGUCCCCCCCAUAGUGUCUCCAUAGCAACCAGUCCAGCUACAUCCAACAUUAGCUGUUGAAACACAAUGGGUCCGCCAAAACCUGAUUUCCUGUUUCUUCACAUUGGUCUCUGGAAAUUUUCACUUCACGGCAUGUUGUCAAAAGAGAAAUAUUCUCCCUUGGAUGUGCAUCCAUACUGAUGGCACCUCAGGAAAAUUCAAUUAUUAAAUAAACUUUCCUGUCACAGCCAAAGCCAUGACAUGAAAGUGGUGCACAGCUCUCUUCCACUCUCACGAUACACCUCAUCUUUCAAAAACCCUCCAGCCUGUGAGAUCUUCCCUGGGACCCACAAAGAAAUCUUUUCUUCUGUACUACAGUGGCCAUUUGUACUUAUUCUUAGAGGGCUCGGCACAGUUCAUUGGGACGGAAUGAAACUUGCCUGUGUGACCUG